rnacentral:rRNA from 1 species
AUUGAACGCUGGCGGCAGGCCUAACACAUGCAAGUCGAGCGGGGUUUUCGGACCUAGCGGCGGACGGGUGAGUAAUGCGUAGGAAGCUACCCGAUAGAGGGGGAUACCAGUUGGAAACGACUGUUAAUACCGCAUAAUGUCUACGGACCAAAGUGUGGGACCUUCGGGCCACAUGCUAUCGGAUGCGCCUACGUGGGAUUAGCUAGUUGGUGGGGUAAUGGCUCACCAAGGCGACGAUCCCUAGCUGGUUUGAGAGGAUGAUCAGCCACACUGGAACUGAGACACGGUCCAGACUCCUACGGGAGGCAGCAGUGGGGAAUAUUGGGACAAUGGGCGGCAAGCCUGAUCCAGCCAUGCCGCGUGUGUGAAGAA